rnacentral:rRNA from 1 species
GAUGAACGCUGGCGGCGUGCCUAAUACAUGCAAGUCGAGCGAACAGACGAGGAGCUUGCUCCUCUGACGUUAGCGGCGGACGGGUGAGUAACACGUGGAUAACCUACCUAUAAGACUGGGAUAACUUCGGGAAACCGGAGCUAAUACCGGAUAAUAUAUUGAACCGCAUGGUUCAAUAGUGAAAGACGGUUUUGCUGUCACUUAUAGAUGGAUCCGCGCCGCAUUAGCUAGUUGGUAAGGUAACGGCUUACCAAGGCAACGAUGCGUAGACGACCUGAGAGGGUAGUCGGCCACACUGGAACUGAGACACGGUCCAGACUCCUACGGGAGGCAACAGUAGGGAAUCUUCCGCAAUGGGCGAAAGCCUGACGGAGCAACGCCGCGUGAGUGAUGAAGGUCUUCGGAUCGUAAAACUCUGUUAUUAGGGAAGAACAAAUGUGUAAGUAACUAUGCACGUCUUGACGGUACCUAAUCAGAAAGCCACGGCUAACUACGUG